AUACAGAGGGUGCGAGCGUUAAUCGGAAUUACUGGGCGUAAAGCGCGCGUAGGCGGCUUGAUAAGUCGGAUGUGAAAGCCCCGGGCUUAACCUGGGAAUUGCAUUCGAAACUGUCAAGCUAGAGUAUGGUAGAGGGUAGUGGAAUUCCGGGUGUAGCGGUGAAAUGCGUAGAUAUCCGGAGGAACACCAGUGGCGAAGGCGGCUACCUGGACCAAUACUGACGCUCAGGUGCGAAAGCGUGGGGAGCAAACAGGAUUAGAAACCCGAGUAGUCC
rnacentral:rRNA from 1 species